UAGACUUCACCCAAUCAUUUUUUAAUUGAAGUGAUUGUUAACGGUGCUUUGGACGUCUUGCCAUUAACCUUGGCUCGUCUUAAAUGUCUAAGUGGAUAUUAGCGUGAUAAGUCUUCGCUAUCAUUGUUCACUAUAAAAUCUCUAUAUCAAG
rnacentral:misc_RNA from 1 species